AAAAGACCAUAGGUAACAGUAAAAAUCCAACCAGAUCAACAUACUCAUAGUUAAAGUGGAAAACCAGACCAACAUACUCAUAGGUAGCAGUAAAAAGCCGAACCAACAUGCUCAAAGGUAACAGUAAAAAACGAGACCAACAUACCCAUAGCUAACAGUAAAAAACCAGACCAACAUACUCAUAGGUAACAGUAAAAAAACAGACCUACAUACUCAGAAGUAACUGUAAAAAACCAGGUCAACAUACUUAUAGGUAACAGUAAAAAAAACAGACCAACAUACUCAUAGGUAACAGUAAAAAUAAAA